GACUAUGAAAGGAGUAGUAGUUGAACAAUCAAUUCUGACAAGCCGCAGUAGUUGAACACUCCGGGAGCAGUAGCUGAACUAACAAAAUAUAUGGCAAUAGGCACACCAAAAAUUUUUAACGUCUUAUUGAAAUAUCCAAAGAUUUAUAUCAUAUUAUUGAAUAAUAUUAAAAAUAAUACUGUGAAUAUUUAAUAUAGGGUGGCGCAGAAAAAG